rnacentral:rRNA from 1 species
GCUGUAAUCGCGAAUCAGAAUGUCGCGGUGAAUACGUUCCCGGGCCUUGUACACACCGCCCGUCACACCAUGAGAGUCGAUAACACCCGAAGCCUGUGAGCUAACCGCAAGGGGGCAGCAGUCGAAGGUGGGGUUGAUGAUUGGGGUGAAGUCGUAACAAGGUAAC